UACAGAGGGUCCAAGCGUUGUUCGGAUUCACUGGGCGUAAAGGGUGCGUAGGCGGUCUUUUAAGUCUGACGUGAAAUCUCCGGGCCUAACCCGGAAACUGCGUUGGAAACUAUCUGACUAGAGGAAUGGAGGGGAGACUGGAAUACUUGGUGUAGCAGUGAAAUGCGUAGAUAUCAAGUGGAACACCAGUGGCGAAGGCGAGUCUCUGGACAUUUCCUGACGCUGAGGCGCGAAAGCCAGGGGAGCAAACGGG
rnacentral:rRNA from 1 species